UACCUCACGGAAUGUGGAAAGAGACCGUUUGUAAUAUGUUUAAUCUAACAAUUUUGCGAGAAAGGGAAAAGUGUCUGUAGCCUAUUGUGAAAUGCAAAGUUUUACAAUAUGUAAUCAUUUUUCAUGCAUUUGCAACAUUGUUGUGCUUGAGCGCAGUUUACCCAGAGUACACCGGGAAACGGGCAGAGGAACAUGGCGCAGGGUCGACGAGGAGGACGCUGAACAAUUGAGGAUUACAUUCCGUGGAUAUUUCGGAGAUCAUGCUGAAAUCCUAAAAUGAGAAUGUGAAAUGGUUUCACUCCCGAAAUCUUGGAUAUCUACCACUGCCCCUUUGAUGAAUAAUAGGAAAACGCCUCUCAGGAAUACCUGCAAUUGCAUUCAUAAACAUUUUUUUAGGACUUACAAACCCUGAGCAUUGUUUUUUAUUCACAAACGUCACAUUUUCAUCUAAAUAUUACAUGGGAAAAUGGCUGAGAGAAAUAAAAUGAUUAUAGAGGUCCCACAAGGAGUUGAUAGACUUCGAGUGGAGCAUAAAAAGGUGGUGCAAGGCUGUGAAGGUCAGAUCCAGCACUGGGCGAAGGUAAAGGGUGACUAUGAAACCCUCGAGGAUCGACUCAAAACUCUUCCAGAUCAGGUGUCCUAUGACAUCAUGGUACGUUCCAUCUUUCUCUUAUCAAAUCAAAGUUUAUUGGUUGCGCACACAGAUUUGCAGAUGUUAUCGCAGGUGCAACAAAAUGCAAUAACAA